rnacentral:rRNA from 1 species
AGUGAACGCUGGCGGUAGGCCUAACACAUGCAAGUCGAACGGCAGCACAGUAAGAGCUUGCUCUUACGGGUGGCGAGUGGCGGACGGGUGAGGAAUACAUCGGAAUCUACUUUUUCGUGGGGGAUAACGUAGGGAAACUUACGCUAAUACCGCAUACGCCCUACGGGUGAAAGCAGGGGAUCUUCGGACCUUGCGCGAUUGAAUGAGCCGAUGUCGGAUUAGUUAGUUGGCGUGGUAAAGGCCCACAAAGGCGACGAUCCGUAGACUGUCUGAGGGGAUGAUCAGCCACACGGGAACUGAGACACGGUCCAGACUCCUACGUGAGGCAGCAGUGGGGAAUAUUAGACGAUGGGCGCAAGCCUGACCCAGCCAGACCGCGUGGGUGAAGAAGGCCUUCGGGUUGUAAAGCCCUUUUGUUGGGAAAGAAAAGCAGCAGGUUAAUACCCCGAUGUUCUGACGGUACCCAAAGAAUAAGCACCGGCUAACUUCGUG